UCUUAAUCGCAGAGAAAGAUUAAAGGGGA
rnacentral:piRNA from 1 species